GGAUGAACGCUAGCGGCAGGCUUAACACAUGCAAGUCGAGGGGUAACAGGGUGCUUGCACUCGCUGACGACCGGCGCACGGGUGCGUAACGCGUAUAGAACCUACCUUUUACUAGAGGGAUAGCCUUUAGAAAUGAAGAUUAAUACCUUAUGGUAUUGUAGACUGGCAUCAGUUUAUAAUUAAAGAUUUAUCGGUAAGAGAUGAGUAUGCGUCCUAUUAGCUAGAUGGUAAGGUAACGGCUUACCAUGGCAACGAUAGGUAGGGGCCCUGAGAGGGGGGAUCCCCCACACUGGUACUGAGACACGGACCAGACUCCUACGGGAGGCAGCAGUGAGGAAUAUUGGACAAUGGAGGCAACUCUGAUCCAGCCAUGCCGCGUGCAGGAAGACUGCCCUAUGGGUUGUAAACUGCUUUUAUACAGGAAGAAACAUUCCCUCGUGAGGGAAUUUGACGGUACUGUAUGAAUAAGCACCGGCUAACUCCGUGCCAGCAGCCGCGGUAAUACGGAGGAUCCAAGCGUUAUCCGGAAUCAUUGGGUUUAAAGGGUCCGUAGGUGGAUAAUUAAGUCAGGGGUGAAAGUCUGCAGCUCAACUGUAGAAUUGCCUUUGAUACUGGUUAUCUUGAGUCAUUAUGAAGUGAAUAGAAUGUGUAGUGUAGCGGUGAAAUGCAUAGAGAUUACACAGAAUACCGAUUGCGAAGGCAGUCUACUAAAUACUAACGACACUGAUGGACGAAAGCGUGGGUAGCGAACAGGAUUAGAUACCCUGGUAGUCCACGCCGUAAACGAUGGUCACUAGCUGUUUGGACUUCGGUCUGAGUGGCUAAGCGAAAGUGAUAAGUGACCCACCUGGGGAGUACGUUCGCAAGAAUGAAACUCAAAGGAAUUGACGGGGGCCCGCACAAGCGGUGGAGCAUGUGGUUUAAUUCGAUGAUACGCGAGGAACCUUACCAGGGCUUAAAUGUAAGUUGCAUGGGUUAGAGAUAACCCUUUCUUCGGACUACUUACAAGGUGCUGCAUGGUUGUCGUCAGCUCGUGCCGUGAGGUGUCAGGUUAAGUCCUAUAACGAGCGCAACCCUUAUCGUUAGUUGCUAGCAGGUCAUGCUGAGGACUCUAACGAGACUGCCGGUGCAAACCGAGAGGAAGGUGGGGAUGACGUCAAAUCAUCACGGCCCUUAAGUCCUGGGCCACACACGUGCUACAAUGGCCGGUACAGAGAGCAGCCAUGUUGCAAGACAGAGCGAAUCUAUAAAACCGGUCACAGUUCGGAUCGGGGUCUGCAACUCGACCCCGUGAAGCUGGAAUCGCUAGUAAUCGCAUAUCAGCCAUGAUGCGGUGAAUACGUUCCCGGGCCUUGUACACACCGCCCGUCAAGCCAUGGAAGCCGGGAGUGCCUGAAGUCCGUCACCGCAAGGAGCGGCCUAGGGCAAGAUCGGUAACUAGGGCUAAGUCGUAACAAGGUAGCCGU
rnacentral:rRNA from 1 species